rnacentral:rRNA from 1 species
AUUGAACGCUGGCGGCAGGCCUAACACAUGCGAGUCGAACGGUAACAGGAAACAGCUUGCUGUUUCGCUGACGAGUGGCGGACGGGUGAGUAAUGUCUGGGAAACUGCCUGAUGGAGGGGGAUAACUACUGGAAACGGUAGCUAAUACCGCAUAACGUCGCAAGACCAAAGAGGGGGACCUUCGGGCCUCUUGCCAUCGGAUGUGCCCAGAUGGGAUUAGCUAGUAGGUGGGGUAACGGCUCACCUAGGCGACGAUCCCUAGCUGGUCUGAGAGGAUGACCAGCCACACUGGAACUGAGACACGGUCCAGACUCCUACGGGAGGCAGCAGUGGGGAAUAUUGCACAAUGGGCGCAAGCCUGAUGCAGCCAUGCCGCGUGUAUGAAGAAGGCCUUCGGGUUGUAAAGUACUUUCAGCGGGGAGGAAGGGAGUAAAGUUAAUACCUUUACUCAUUGACGUUACCCGCAGAAGAAGCACCGGCUAACUCCGUG